rnacentral:rRNA from 1 species
AUUGAACGCUGGCGGCAGGCCUAACACAUGCAAGUCGAACGGUAACAGGAAUCAGCUUGCUGAUUUGCUGACGAGUGGCGGACGGGUGAGUAAUGCCUGGGAAACUGCCUGAUGGAGGGGGAUAACUACUGGAAACGGUAGCUAAUACCGCAUAACGUCGCAAGACCAAAGAGGGGGACCUUCGGGCCUCUUGCCAUCGGACGUGCCCAGAUGGGAUUAGCUAGUAGGUGGGGUAACGGCUCACCUAGGCGACGAUCCCUAGCUGGUCUGAGAGGAUGACCAGCCACACUGGAACUGAGACACGGUCCAGACUCCUACGGGAGGCAGCAGUGGGGAAUAUUGCACAAUGGGCGCAAGCCUGAUGCAGCCAUGCCGCGUGUAUGAAGAAGGCCUUCGGGUUGUAAAGUACUUUCAGCGGGGAGGAAGGGAGUAAAGUUAAUGCCUUUGCUCAUUGACGUUACCCGCAGAAGAAGCACCGGCUAACUCCGUGCCAGCCGCCGCCGUAACAC